GAUGAAGAAACGUAGCGAAAUGCGAUAAGUAAUGUGAAUUGCAGAAUUCAGUGAAUCAUCGAAUCUUUGAACGCACCUUGCACCCUUUGGCAUUCCGAAGGGUAUGCUCGUUUGAGUGUCAUUGUACUCUCACACUUCCGAUCUUUGGAUUGGGAGCGGUGGACUUGGGUGUUGCUGCUUACUGUGGCUCACCUCAAAUCGAUUCGUGCACCUCUUGGUUGGACAUAGUACGGCGUGAUAAGUGUCUUCGCCGGCACCUCAGUAGAGGGUGGCUGAUCGGGAGCUCUGCUUCAAACCGUCCUCGGACAACAACUGACAACUUGACCUCAAAUCGAGUAGGACUACCCGCUGAACUUAAGCAUAUCAAUAAGCGGAGGA
rnacentral:misc_RNA from 1 species